CCCUUAGAUGUUCUGGGCCGCACACGCGCUACACUGAAGGAGGCAGCGUGUACUCCUGGAUCGAAAGAUUUGGGUAACCGCGAAUCUCCUUCGUGCUAGGGAUUGAGGUUUGCAAUUAUCCUUCAUGAACGAGGAAUUCCCAGUAAGUGCAAGUCAUAAGCUUGCGCUGACUACGUCCCUGCCCUUUGUACACACCGCCCGUCGCUACUACCGAUUGAAUGAUUUAGUGAGGACUUCGGACUGGGACCGAUGCGGCUUUCGGGCUGCGUCGGUAUUCUGGAAAGAUGUCCAAACUGUAUCAUUUAGAGGAAGUAAAAGUCGUAACA
rnacentral:rRNA from 1 species